rnacentral:misc_RNA from 1 species
GUGUUUUCUAAUUUUGCUGUCAUUCAAACAAAACUUAGAAAUAGACUUGGAGUGAAGAAGGCAGCAAAACUGGUGUUUUGCUUCCGCAUGUUAAGGUCCAAAGAGGAAUUGGACUGGUGAUGAAGGAACUUUCAUGGUCACCAGGGGUCUGACAGUGGAAUAUAAUAUGAUUUUUGCCAUAGUAAAAAUGUCUGUUUCAGUCACACAUAAAACAGUGUUUGUAUUAGAUCACAGUCCAGCUUUCCAGAAGUCAUGCAAUCAGAGUAUAGAGUAUGAUAUACUUGCUAAAGGGAAAACGCCGGGUAUCAUACCCGCUGCACCGAUCUUCAAAACUUUAUGGACAUGCUCUGUUGAAGCAAUGAUGGAGUACAUCAGGAUUGUUUACGAUAUCUUUCCUACAGAUAAACUGAUUUCCGUAGUAACAGGGUCAAAGGCCUUGAAUUCAUGGAAUGUAAAAGAGCAAAAUAUGCUGCAGGUAAUGAAUGCUCUGACUGAUGUUGAAGCACCAACAGAUUCUGACGAAUAUAAUGUAGUCAAUGGUUUGACUCAAGCCGUAGAGGAGCUCUGUAGACCAAGCGAACUUCAGAUCAGACUGAAGAGUGAAGACGAUGCUGGGACUGUUGAAAAUAGAGGAAGGAUCAUUUUGUUAACACAUGGUAAAAGUGAUGGACAGAUUCGAAUGUUAGAAGAGUGUGUAAAUGGUGCUCUGGAACAACACAACAGCCUUGCUGUAGAAAGUGACAAUCUGAUGCCUGUAUCUUACUGUGAGAUGGUUGUCCUACACUCGUACCCAGUAGAUGACACAUGCACAAUCACAGACAAAGCCAAGCAUGAGAUUUCUCCACUUCUCACGUGCGAAGUGGUUACUACAGAGUCUGGAAAGAAACAGUAUGAUAGGAUGCUACAGAUGGCAUAUGUCCACUAUCGCCUCGCAUCGACAACAGUGACUGGAAUUCCAAUGAAGGAAGAACAGAAUGCCAGCUCCUCUGCUAACUAUGAUGUAGAACUACUCCACCCACUGGAAGGUCAUGAGGAAUUGUUGAAAUCAGGAACAGUGGAAGGCUUGAUGAUUCCAUCGAAGGAGGGUAUCCCUAUAAAUACUAUUACACUUAAAUGGUGCACACCCAAAUCUAGUGUUCAAGAUUUACCAGCAUGUACAGGAGCUUACAGAAUAACUCCGGUAGACGUGAACAGUCGACCAUCUUCCUGUCUCACCAACUUUCUACUCAGUGGGAGAGCUGUGAUGUUAGAACAGCCUCGGAAGACAGGGUUCAAAGUCAUAUCUCACAUGUUGACGAGUCAUGGUGGCGAGAUUUUUAUACAUUGUAUACCGACAGGACGGUCUAUACUAGAAGAUCCACCGUCUAUCAGCGAAGGACCGGGUGGAAGAGUCACGGAUUAUAGAAUACCCGAUUUCCGGGAGUUUAUGAAAGAAAAUAGACUCGCACCAGCAUCACCAGCAGUAGCAGAGUUAGCACAACAAUUACCGGUCCAAAGAGCGUUACAACAUGUAGAACGGACGAGCAGAUGUUGGCCUAUGGUUAUAAGUGACACCAUUAUCUUCAAUAUGGCGUCUCACAUAGAUCCUUUACCGACAUUGCUUGUGAAAGAGAGGCUAACAGAAGAAGAAGUACUUGAUUGCAAAAAGGCAAUAUUUCAUAUAGUUGGUAUGGAGAGUAGGAAUGAGCCGUUGCCAAUUAACACUGCUGGUAUCAGAGGGAAAGGCUCUAAACGAGAGCAGCAGUACUACCCAGAUGUGGUCAGAAAUGGAGGCCCUUGUACAAGCACAUGCUGGAACAUCGGAUAUGCAUCAGAAAGUGCUAGACUGUCUACUAGAGUGUAAAAAGCCGUCUGACGAGAAACGAAAAGCUGAGAAACUGACAGUGAAGGAAGAACUGAGUGAAGUAGAAAGUGCUUGGAAAGAUCUUGAUAAGUACCAAAAGAUGACUGAGCAUGAGAAGAAGGAAUUUAACAGAGCCGACAGUCAGGAUGAUUCUGGUCCGCCAAAUAAACGACUCCGACCUGGAUUUACUGAACCUCUAGUUAGGACUGGAA